ensembl:lncRNA
AAGUUGACCUUUGACCUUUUCAGUGUUGGAAAGACACUUUCUUGCACUGAGUUCUGCUUAUUGUAAAUAUCCUGUACUUCUUUUUACACCUUUAAAGUUGACCUUUGACCUUUUUAGUGUUGGAAAGACACUUUCUUGCACUGAGGUCUGCUUAUUGUAAAUAUCCUGUACUUGUUUUUACACCUUUAAAGUUGACCUUUGACCUUUUUAUGUUGGAAAGACACUUUCUUGCACUGAGGUCUGCUUAUUGUAAAUAUCCUGUACUUGUUUUUACACCUUUAAAGUUGACCUUUGACCUUUUUAGUGUUGGAAAGACACUUUCUUGCACUGAGGUCUGCUUAUUGCAAAUAUCCUGUACUUGUUUUUACACCUUUAAAGUUGACCUUUGACCUUUUUAGUGUUGGAAAUACACUUUCUUGCACUGAGGUCUGCUCAUUGUAAAUAUCCUGUACUUGUUUUUACACCUUUAAACUUGACCUUUAACCUAGGUUUCAAAUAUAGUUUGUCUGUUUCU